CUCUGAGAGUUUGAUCCUGGCUCAGGACGAACGCUGGCGGCGUGCUUAACACAUACAAGUCGAACGAUGAACCUGGAGCUUGCUCCAGGGGAUUAGUGGCGAACGGGUGAGUAACACGUGAGUAACCUGCCCUUGACUCUGGGAUAACCUCCGGAAACGGAAGCUAAUACCGGAUAUGACGCACGGAGGCAUCUCCUGUGCGUGGAAAGAACUUCGGUCAAGGAUGGACUCGCGGCCUAUCAGGUAGUUGGUGAGGUAACGGCUCACCAAGCCUACGACGGGUAGCCGGCCUGAGAGGGUGACCGGCCACACUGGGACUGAGACACGGCCCAGACUCCUACGGGAGGCAGCAGUGGGGAAUAUUGCACAAUGGGCGCAAGCCUGAUGCAGCAACGCCGCGUGAGGGAAGACGGCCUUCGGGUUGUAAACCUCUUUUAGUAGGGAAGAAGCGAAAGUGACGGUACCUGCAAAAAAAGCACCGGCUAACUACGUGCCAGCAGCCGCGGUAAUACGUAGGGUGCGAGCGUUGUCCGGAAUUAUUGGGCGUAAAGAGCUCGUAGGCGGUCUGUCGCGUCUGCUGUGAAAACCCGAGGCUCAACCUCGGGCCUGCAGUGGGUACGGGCAGACUAGAGUGCGGGUAGGGGAGAAUGGAAUUCCUGGUGUAGCGGUGGAAUGCGCAGAUAUCAGGAGGAACACCGAUGGCGAAGGCAGUUCUCUGGGCCGUAACUGACGCUGAGGAGCGAAAGCGU
rnacentral:rRNA from 1 species